rnacentral:rRNA from 1 species
GGGGACGUAACAAAGCGACCCAGGAAUACUUGGGCGUGCCUCCACCCACGCCGGCGUCGGCGGGCGUAUUUCGCCUCACAGUAGGUCGCCGCGACCCGUUGCUUUUGGGGACGUCGAAGGCCCGGACGGAUUGGUACCCUACCGGCUGGGGAUGCGGCUUCGGCUUCUCCUCUUGUCCGGUGGGCGAAACCGCCGGUGUCCUGGCUGCCCUGCGACGGUCGUAGAGACGAGCCCCUCCCAUUCGUGGGGGGCGGCUCUCGCGGCGUGCAAAAGGUCGGUGAUCCACCCGACCCGUCUUGAAACACGGACCAAGGAGUCUAACAUGUGUGCGAGUCAGUGGGCGCACUAAACCCAGAGGCGUAAUGAAAGUGACACGGGUUCGGCUGUCGCCUCGUGUGGCAGCCGGACUCAGGGCCGAUCCCUCACCGGUUGCCCUCGCCUCUCUCCCGCGUCUCGGUAAGCCGGGUGAGCUAUUUUCCCCGGCCGCUGCUGCGGGGCUCGGGGGAAGGCGGGGUGCGAUGGUGUCCGUAAAAAAGAGCCUGCUGUUGCAGGGGGGCGCAGGCCCGGGACUUGCCAGGACGCCGCGAGACUGUCACUUUGCUGUGAGGCUCCAGGGCCGAUCAGCGGGUCAUGCGUGCAGUCGGCAAGUACCAUGAGCAGACAUGUUGGGACCCGAAAGAUGGUGAACUAUGCCUGGCCAGGAUGAAGCCAGAGGAAACUCUGGUGGAGGUCCGUAGCGAUUCUGACGUGCAAAUCGAUCGUCGGAGCUGGGUAUAGGGGCGA